AUGUCAGGUGUAAGUCGUCCUAAAGUGAUCGUCCUGCCGCCGUCCAGUGAAGAGAUUUCCAGCAAGAAGACAGCAACAGUGAUGUGUGUGGCCAGCAAUGGUUUCCCUUCAGACUGGAGUCUGAGCUGGAAAGUGAAUGGGAAGAUGUCAGGAUCUCAGGAGAACAGAGCUGGAGUCCUACAGAAAGACGGCGGUCUGUACAGCUGGAGCAGCAGUCUGACUCUCACUGAACAAGAAUGGAUCAACAGAGACUCAGUGAUCUGUGAGAUCAGUCGGGAAGGUCAGACAGUCACUGGAGAAGUGAAGAAAGAUCUGUGUUCUCAGUAG